UACGUAGGUGGCAAGCGUUGUCCGGAUUUAUUGGGGUUAAAGGGUGCGUAGGCGGUCUAUUAAGUCAGUGGUGAAAUACUCCAGCUUAACUGGAGGGGUGCCAUUGAUACUGAUGGACUUGAGUGAAGUCGAGGUAGGCGGAAUUGACGGUGUAGCGGUGAAAUGCUUAGAUAUCGUCAAGAACACCAAUAGUGAAGACAGCUUACUAGGCUUAUACUGACGCUGAGGCACGAAAGUGUGGGGAUCAAACAGG
rnacentral:rRNA from 1 species